GAUGAACGCUAGCGGCAGGCCUAAUACAUGCAAGUCGAACGAUAUUAUCCAGCUUGCUGGAUAUGAAAGUGGCGCACGGGUGCGUAACGCGUAUGCAACCUACCUUAUUCAGGGGGAUAGCCCGGAGAAAUUCGGAUUAACACUGCAUAAAAUCACAGUUCAGCAUUGGACAAUGAUCAAAUAUUUAUAGGAAUAAGAUGGGCAUGCGUGUCAUUAGCUAGUUGGCGGGGUAACUGACCACCAAGGCGACGAUGGCUAGGGGAUCUGAGAGGAUGGCCCCCCACACUGGUACUUAGACACGGACCAGACUCCUACGGGAGGCAGCAGUAAGGAAUAUUGGUCAAUGGAGGGAACUCUGAACCAGCCAUGCCGCGUGCAGGAAGACGGCCCUCUGGGUUGUAAACUGCUUUUAUUCGGGAAUAAACCUAUUUACGUGUAAAUAGCUGAAUGUACCGAAGGAAUAAGGAUCGGCUAACUCCGUGCCAGCCGCCGCAGUAA
rnacentral:rRNA from 1 species